rnacentral:rRNA from 1 species
UACGGGGGGGGGCAAGCGUUGUUCGGAAUUACUGGGCGUAAAGGGCUCGUAGGCGGCCAACUAAGUCAGACGUGAAAUCCCUCGGCUUAACCGGGGAACUGCGUCUGAUACUGGAUGGCUUGAGGUUGGGAGAGGGAUGCGGAAUUCCAGGUGUAGCGGUGAAAUGCGUAGAUAUCUGGAGGAACACCGGUGGCGAAGGCGGCCAACUGGACUGGUAUUGACGCUGAGGCGCGAAAGCUAGGGGAGCAAACGGG